GAACAACAUCGUACGUCAGGUUCGACACACCACCGUUAAGGGGUAAUGCGGUGCAGAUUACGAAAGCUACUUGGUAAGCAUGGGCGUUGAGUGUUCCAUCCGUUGGGGACGUUGAGCACAUCAGUGGCCCAUAUUAUUUGCAGGGGAAAGGAUACCUGAGGAUGUGAAUCGAACCCUAUAUAUGGUGUCCUUUCCGACCUAAUGCUCAGAGUGCGCCCGGCGGGUGAGAGCUGACGGCAGGACUGGGCGGGUUGUCUUGUGUGGAUCCAUCUCGGAGAUCAUGCGGCGGCGGAGUGUGUGUUUGUGCUUUCAGUUUCUUGUGUGCGAGGGCGUUGGAGGGUCCCUUCGCGUCCAGCUUAGUUGGGACCGAUCCUUGCAGGUCAUGGGAGUGUGCGAUGAGCGGGCGUUUUAGGGUUUUCCAUGUUUGUGUGCGUGCGGUGUUGUCGGAGGAUGCGAGGCAAGUAGACGUGGGAAUGCGUUGUGCGGAGAUGGUGUGGUGCGGGUGCGAGCUAUGAGGAUUUUUUAUUACCAGUAUAAGCCAGUUCUGCUACUGAGAUAUGUGAGUGAUAAACUGGUCAGAGACUGAGCUCUUGGGGUAGAGGGGUGGUAGUAUGUGGUGUGGCGGGGGAGCUUUUGUGAAGUUGAGCUGAGUCGAGGGAGGGGUGGGAGCUCUGAAUGUGACGGCACAUGAUUGCCAACGUGGUGGGUGUAGUACGGUUGGGAGUGGUUGAGUGGUAGCCCCCGGCGCCGGUGGAUCGAGUGAUGAGAUACAAACGCAAAUCUUAGGACACCUUCUUACAUGGCGAAUGCCGUGGAUGAGAGUGAAAGUUCUCUGACGAUUAUCCACUGUCAUGAAUAUCGAAUGAGUUGUUCUUUUGUCGGUGUGCUGCUGUGACGACUAACCGAAAUUAUACAUGUUAGACUAUGGAGAUGGCUUUGGUCAUCCGUGAAUAACAAGAAUGGAUCUGAGCAGAGUACUAGGUCCGCUGUGCGGGGGGGGGAGGGGGUGUUGGACAUGUCCGGUGAACAGAAGGAUGUGAGGGUCUGAUGCGGGAGCUGGUUGGUUCAAUCAGCUCGCAUUUGUGGGUGGACGUCGGUGAACGUGGCGGGGUUAUGGACAGAUGAUAGAGUUUCGAAAGCAUAGGAUGAGAAUAUUGGAUUCCCCUUCCAACUGCGGUAUGAGGAAAAGUCCUGUUCCUGAUGCUAUAUCACUUGUUUGGGUGACUCCGCUUUGUGUAAUGCUGUGAGGUUAUCCUGUUUGGUCAAGAGAAGUGAUGAACAUUUUAAUCCGUUACCACUCUGAAGGAUGACAUGUGGACGAAUAUUAAACCAUGGCUGUGGUUCUGAUCUCUAUUUCCGCGUGGUUUGAUAUUGCUACAAGAUCCGUUGAACUACUGUUGCGAAGGAUCGUUGAAUUAGUGACCGGACCUUAGAUUUUGGUGGAAAUCUGGGUCACGGUUCUGGGGCUGCCGUGCUCACUUGGAGUGAUUAUUGUAAACCAAUUGCUCCGCACCCGGUAUCGCUGUGGAGAUAGCCAGGAGGUGGAUUAUGGUCCUUGACAUAACCACUUCAGAGAUGUUAUGAGGACGCGCAUGUGCCUCCUGGUGCGAUGUUCGAGCUUCUCGUGGAUAGUUGUUUUAUCCUACCCGGUUUCACCUGUUUGCUAUAAAAAGGUUCGUUUAAACGAAGAUGUGGGUGUUCUGCCUGCACACUGUGCGACCAAUGACGCAAUCGACAAUCGAAGUGCAGCUUUGCCAUGAGUUGUACCUAUUAAAUAUGUUGCUCAACAAAUUACCUACGCCGAAGGUAUAUACGGAAGACAACCUUCCACUCAAUGUGCAUUUGCAAACAGUUUUAUCCAGCAUUCGAAGUUCCAUGUAAGCAGACGAACCCGCCUCAUAAAGGAGAGGAUAAAUGUCUGCGGAAGCGUUUGCGUUGUCCUCAUCACGGUAGCGCAGCUUUCCGAACAAAGGUCCUGGUAGAUUUUACAUGUAUUUAUGAUAAUCCUUCAACCAACUAAACAGACUUGAAAGGAGACAUGAAGGUGAAACAAAUGACUACUCUACAACCAGCUGAAGAGGGAAUUCAGUUGUAAAGGAAGUGCCGAUGUUUUGAACGCAAUGAAAUGUUGUAUUGGGUGGACUAUCUUGUUAUUAUUCAUUGUUCAACAACUGAUAUCUGCUUUAAGAGUAAACAAAGGAGAAAUAUUUGUAUGAGAAGGGAAAUGAGCGACGUAGUAGUCACUCUUCAAUGCAGAUUAGAGUACAAAAAUGAUGUUGGUAAAAUGCAUCAUAGCCUCAAUUUCAUCAUAUGUACGAGUCAUACGAAGUAGCUCUUGUGGUAGCCGUCCAGAGACAAUGAUGCUUUUGGCCUGAUCAACAAAUUGUAAACUGUUUCUAACAUGACAUCCUCGAAUGAAGAAGCUUGUAGUUGAACUUACAAUAGUUACUUCAUAUGAAUAAUAUGAAUAAUAGUCUAAAAAUCGAAGUAACGUGUGAGAAAUGUCCGUCCAAUCUGUACAGUAAAGCUGCCAUCAUCAAACAA